rnacentral:rRNA from 1 species
UAAAGGGUGCGUAGGCGGCCUGUUAAGUCAGAGGUGAAAGACGGUAGCUCAACUAUCGCAGUGCCUUUGAUACUGAUGGGCUUGAAUGGACUAGAGGUAGGCGGAAUGAGACAAGUAGCGGUGAAAUGCAUAGAUAUGUCUCAGAACACCGAUUGCGAAGGCAGCUUACUAUGGUUUUAUUGACGCUGAGGCACGAAAGCGUGGGGAUCAAACAGGAUUAGAUACCCUGU